AUAGUUUAGAAGAUAUGAUUAUAUGCUGAAUACAGAAAACAUAUAGUCGUUUCUACAUGAAGAAUUGAACUCUAACAUUACAGAAUACCAAACUGGCUCUCCUUUUUGAGUAUUUCCAUCUGGUGUUUUACAUUUAAGGGUUUAACUUGUAUUAAGUCGUGUCAACUUACUGUCAAGACAGACGCCUUUAUAGAAAAUAAAGGAAUAUGGAGUAAAAGUACACGGGACCUUAAAUCGAACACAAAGUCAGAGCUUAACAAAAAUACAAAUUAUCAAUGGUCAGCGUUUUAUUCCUGUUCAUCUUUAUAGUCGCUAGAGGGUCUUCAACAAUGAAAGAAUCACUUGUUUACCAGAAGAACAAAACGACAAUAGCACGAAAGGAUCUAAGAGUACUUAAGUUUCUGACAGCUAGUUCACACUGUUACGUUUGAAGUCUUCCUGUCCGUCAUCCCGCAAUCGUUAUUUUUGAAGACCAUAAGUGAAUGAAUAAUUUGAUUUUCUGUCUCUGGACCUGUGCAUACAUAAAAUACUUGCCACUGAACAUUGAACCAAGUAAAAUCAAUACACAUCGUUUCAUAUAUAAAAAUCAAUCUACAGAUGAUAAAGUAUUUCUUUGUUGGUUAGACUCCCUUUUUUGGGAGUUGAACACUGUGCGGGAUAAAUUUCUUCUCAUGGGAAGAUAUAUUUUUCCCAUGGGAAUAUUAGUUUUUUCUUUUUCUUUUUUUUUCAGAAUUUGUAAAAGUGCUAUGAAAUAUUGAAAUGGACUGACAAUCACUAGUAACCAAUGACUGGAACAAUAUUAAUUUAACAGGCAUUUCAAUAAAUUAAAAGUAUUUCUAUCAUACUUUUACACUCAAAAG
rnacentral:lncRNA from 1 species